AACGUAGGAGACAAACGUUAUCCGGAGUUACUGGGCGUAAAGGGCGUGUAGGUGGUUCGUAAGUCUGGCGUGAAAUAUCUCGGCUUAACCGAGGCAGGUCGUCGGAUACUGCGGAACUAGAGGACGGUAGAGGCGUGUGGAAUUCCGGGUGUAGUGGUGAAAAUGCGUAGAGAUCCGGAGGAACACCGGUGGCGAAGGCGGCAUCCUGGACCGGUAUUGGACACUGGAGGCGCGAAAGCCAGGGAGCAACGGG
rnacentral:rRNA from 1 species